UUUGUUGAUUGGAGAAUCAACAAGAUCAAACUUCGCGCGCUGGAUGAGAUGAUCAUGAAAGUAUGCUUAUCGAAGGGACGAUAUGCAAAGUCCUUCGACGGACCAUGGUGGAUCUGGGCGCGUCAGAUGAAUCAAGGGUCAACUCAUCUGAGGGCCCUAGUGAAGGCCACAUGGGGGGGAAUCUAGCGGAACCGGGGGGACAUAUUUAAAUCCUUUUCUCUUCGGAUCACUCCUAUUUUCUCUCUUUCAUCUCCCUCUUACUCUCCACUCUCGCUCUACUCUUCUCUCUACCCUCUCCUCCGGCCACCCAUGUUCUUCCCUACCAUCCCUCAAACCGCCCUUAUCCUCAGUUUUUCGGUUAACCUUCAACCGAAAAACUCAUCCCCAAGAACCCUAAUACAAAGCCUACCCAGAAAAUCUCACCAACAAAGAACCCUAACCUGGGUCCGCGGUGAACGCUAAUCCUAUAACCUGGGAAGCGAAGAACCCUAGGGUUCAUCUAAUGAACUCUAACCCUAACUGCGAUGAACCCUAACCCUAAAAGUUACCCAGAAACCCACAUCGAACCCCAAAUCUCAUUAAUCCAAUAUUGAAACAUGAACAUGCAAAUUUUGAAAUGAAGAGAAGGCAAAGGUAAGUUAAAUCCAACCAACCUACGGAGAUGAGAGGUUCUCCAGUAAGCAGAGUCUAGCUCAGAAGAGUCAGGGUUUCAAUGUGAAACCCUAAUCUUAAGUUUGAUUCGAGCUUUGAUAAAGGGUUUGGAUUUGCAACAACAAAGGAUUUCUGUUUUGGGUUUUUCUCCCCUGUUUUUUGUUUAAUCCUUAGGCUUAUAUAGAUUCAUUUCAGGUUAAGGUUUUUAAUUAUAUUGAUUUAGUUAGGAAUUUUAGGAUUUGAUUUGUAUUAGCAAUCAGGUUUUCAGAUUUUUUCUGAAAAUAGAUUUUACGUUUGAAAUGUAACAGAUUAUUUGAUGCAUGUAGUCUUGAUUCGAUUUGUAAUUCAUGAUUCCAGUAAAAAUGAAAAGCUUGGAUUCAA